rnacentral:rRNA from 1 species
GACGAACGCUGGCGGCGUGCUUAACACAUGCAAGUCGAACGGUGAAGGGAUCAGCUUGCUGGUCCUGGAUGAGUGGCGAACGGGUGAGUAACACGUGAGUAACCUGCCCCCUUCUUCUGGAUAACCGCAUGAAAGUGUGGCUAAUACGGGAUAUUCUGCGCCUGCUGCAUGGUGGGUGUGGGAAAGAUAUUGUUUCGGUGGGGGAUGGGCUCGCGGCCUAUCAGCUUGUUGGUGGGGUGAUGGCCUACCAAGGCGGUGACGGGUAGCCGGCCUGAGAGGGUGGACGGUCACACUGGGACUGAGACACGGCCCAGACUCCUACGGGAGGCAGCAGUGGGGAAUAUUGCACAAUGGGCGCAAGCCUGAUGCAGCGACGCCGCGUGAGGGAGGGAGGCCUUCGGGUUGUGAACCUCUUUCGCCAGUGAAGCAGGCCUGUCCCUUGUGGGUGGGUUGACGGUAGCUGGAUAAGAAGCGCCGGCUAACUACGUG